rnacentral:piRNA from 1 species
UAUGAAUUGGAUGUAGAAACACAGACUAAGU